AGGCCCCCGUCCUCCAGGCCCUCGUCCUCCCGGCCCCCGUCCUCCAGCCCCCAUCCUCCAGGCCCCCGUCCUCCAGACCUCCGUCCUCCCAGCCCCUGUCCUCCAGACCCCUGUCCUCCAGGCCCCCGUCCUCCAGGCCCCUGUCUUCCAGGCUUUAGCCUCUGGGGCUCCUCUGGGUCCAGUUCAAGUGACUCCAGGCUCGCCGCUGACGUCGCCGCUGACACUCACCACUGGGCAGCCAUGGGGACUCAAUCCUUGAAAACUCUGGCAAGGAGCUCCCAGCCCCACUCUAGUUCUGCCACCCUCCUGUGACCACCCUCAGAACUCAAGCUCCACCUCUGGAAGAGGGUAUGCAAAUGUCCUUUCUGCCCAGGGUGUCCUAAGCUCCAAACAUUCUCUCCGUUACUGCCACCACGCCUCUGCCUAAAUCCUAAAGCUCUCCAGCCCCCUAACCCUCCAGCUUCCCCUCUGGGAGCCCCUCAUGUCUUUCCUUCCUUCCUUCCUUCCUUCUCCUGCCUGACUUCACCCACUGUCUUCCCCUCUGCUGUCCUGCACCACCGUCUCCAUGCCCAC
rnacentral:lncRNA from 1 species